ensembl:lncRNA
CAAAAGUAAGACCUCUCCGAAAGGUGACACCCACAUCUUAAAGUGUGCAGGAUUCCACAGGGAAAACAUAUCCUAGCUGAAAAUAUGCUCACAAUUAAAAGUACAAAUUAAACAAGGAAGUGGUCCACAAUCUGGGAGAGUCAGCAGAUACUGUAGGAGGAGUAGCACGACAAGACCCCGAGAGAAUAAAAUAGUCUAAAGCUGUCUGUAAAUUCAGUAUAUUUACAGUCAUGAAAGAGAGAGAGGGAGAAAUAAAAACUUUUAUGAAAGAACAGGGCACUAAAGAAGAACAGGCACAUAUGAAAAACAACCUAAUAGAACAAUUCACAGCGAAAAGCCAGAAACAAAAUUAAACACCACGGCCAAUUUUAAGAGCAGAUUGGCAGUUAAAGAGAGAAUUGAUGACAUGAAAGAUACAUCUGAGGAAAUUACCUGGAGCACUGAAGAGAGAGAAAGAGAGAGAGAGGUGUGAAAGCCAAGGAGGUGAGGAAAGUUUCAAUUUAGGUCUAAUGGGAAUUUCAAAAGGAGGAAAUUGGGAAGGGGCAAUAUUUUAAGUGAAAAUGGCUAUGAAUUUUCCAGAAUGAAUAAAAGCCAUGAAACUUCAGAAGACAAAUCUGGCUGAUCAUCAGAAUCACCUGAGCAGCAUAUUAAAAUACAACAUGAUGGUUUUACCCCAGAUGUUCUGGAUGGUGUUCAGGGAUAUGCAUUUAAAGAAAGCUUCUCGUUCAUCAGUCUCUAGGGAGUCCAUGCUAAAUGGUGCCAGAAGAUGAUCCCAAGAGAAGGUGGCAAAGGAGUUAGUACGAACACCUGCAACCUCACAGUACCAUUUCCAUUUGUCUUCUCCAACAUCUGUGAUUAACAUCAGAUGACACAUCAUCCUGCCUUCUACUCCAGAAUCCUGAUUCAGAACACUCUUUAUUUCUCUCUUAUGUACAUCCUAAAAGUGGAACCCAGUGCUCUUCAAGGAGGAAAAUCUACUUGCUCUUCCCCUGGAACAACAUUCUGCUGAACCUGUGGCUGGGCCACCCUGUCCUUCCCAAAUGCGUCCUCUGCUUCCUGUCCAGGAGAAGCCACUGGAGUUCAGAGUCCAGACAGGAAUCCUGUGUUUGAGGAGUGAAAUCCACUUUCAAUCUCCUUUGUUGACCUGACUUUCACCCUUCCCCAACAGCAUUCCAAACUCCCACUCACAUCAACAAGCUGUAUUUUUAAAAGUUGGUUGGAAUUGUGAAAGCUUAAGGUUACGAGAGCUCAAGGAUACGGCCAAAGCUGAGUCUGACAACUUAUUUUACUGCCCGCACUGGGGCAGUCAAGGCCAGGGCAGUGUCAGUGAAAGUCCAGGGUUUUCUAGUGGCCAUGGGCUUUUGGUCUUAUGCAAGAGAAGGGAGGUAAAGCUGAAAACACAUCAUCGAGUUAGAGAAAAUAGGUACAUUGACUGGCACCACUCUAUGCUCAACACAGUGGCAAACACACCUGGUUACCUUCUCUUUCCAUCUUCAAGUUAUAGGAUCCCCAUUUCUAGGGGGUGGCAACAUGCUCAAGGAAGACGGAACCCUUCUCUCAGCCUAAGAGAAUGAAGCAUAAUUGGCUUACAACAUAUGUGGCAAUUCCAUUCCCUUCUUCCCCUGAUUAACUUGGGAGUAAACAUGUGACCCAGUUCUUGACCAAUGAGACCAAAGGAGCAAUUUGUUGCUGGUUCUCAGAAGAUUUUUGUUUUUUGGUACAAAAAGAAACAGCAAGCUUCUUCCCACCUGACUUGAAUGCAAUUGGGUGAGAAUAUGGUUCUUGGAGCUACAGCAACCAUUUUGUGAUAUGAGGCAACAAGCCAAAGGGCACAGGAUAAAACAGUGAAAAGACAGAACCUGUGGUUUUUGAGAAUAUCAUUAAACUACUGAACCAAUCUGGAACUGUUUUCUUCUAGACUUUCAUAUUUGUGAGAUGAUUAAAAAUUUCUGUUGUUUUAGCCACUAUUUCUUUUCUGUUACUUGCAGCCAAAGACAUCUCAUGUGAUACAAAUAAUAUCUAAUUUGUGUUGUAAUUUAUCUAUUUUACGUCUGUUGAUUCUGUCUUAUUGAUUUUUGUAUUCUUAGCACUGAAGGUGAUCCUGGCGUUUAUUAAGUCUUCAAUAAAAUGCCUGUUGAAAAAGGUUUUUAGGUGAUAAAUC